CUCCUCUACCUCCACAAAGUGUGCGACGGCUUUAGCUGAAGUGAUUCAUCCUAAGCGUAAAUUGAGAAAUGUACAAAAGAUCAAACAUUUGUUGGCUUUUAUCCUUGAUGAUGUACCUGUCGUUUGGAAGCAAUGUGACAAACGAUAGAUGUUUUCAAUACAAAAAUUGCUGGACGUGCGUUGGAGAUCCUUGUUCUAGGCAUCAAGAAUCCGAAGAUGUAAACAACACCUGUGUUUGGUGCUAUAACUAUCCCAAUGUCGGUUCCGGGUGUAUUUCGACUCGACGGGAUCGAGCGUGCCUACAACCGAUAAAAUAUGCAGCUCAAUGUCACCCCUAUACAAAGACACGUGCUCUUAAAGCCAACUAGAAGAGAAUUCGAAUUUCUUGAAAGCAGCAAAACUACAAUUGAUGCAGAAAAUGAUUUCAAGACAGCACUUACGUCUGCCCGUUCAGUUGCAAAUGAAAAAAAUGACAUAUCUUCACCAUCUGCAUCUCAUCAAAGUGGCGGGAGGUACCGAUUCAUCUUCAAUGCACACAGGACCAACCAAAGUACAAAGGACGGCAAACAAGGGGUACCACUGAGUGAAAACUGGAGGAGGGGUUGAAGGAGAUUGAUAGAAACAAAAUGAUCUAAACCUGCAAUACUAUAAAUCAAUUAAAUUUUGAAGAGAAAACAGUUGAAUUAGCAACGAAGGCAAAUUUGCUAACAUUCAUUCAACUGGUAUUAUAAAAACUUGUUUGUAAAUUGUGCAGUAUAUACCACUAAUCAU